rnacentral:ncRNA from 102 species
UGAGGUAGUAGGUUGUAUAGUU